rnacentral:tRNA from 1 species
UCAUAUCGUAGCGGCAUAGCGUCUGACUAAAAAUGCGACAGUCGUGGGUUCGAUUCCCACUCGAA